AUUUGUAACCAAAAUUACUGAAUCUUUGUACUCUAACCCACAAAACACAAUUAGUAAAAACAAAAAACAGACAAUAUCUAACAAUUUAUAUUUACAGAAUUAUCAUAUAUUAACAUGGCCUAUAUCCCACAGAUGCAUUGUUCUGUAUUUAAUGGGCUGCUUCAGAUUUGUUAAAGGUUUUGGGAGAAUUAAUGUGUAUCUGAGCAGCUGAAUUGAUGCUUUCUCUGGUGACUCAUGCAGAUACUAGCUGCCCAAGUCAAGCCCAACUGCUCCCCCACGCACAAAAACUCUGGAGCAGGUCGGCAGAUACAGCUGAUGGAUUAACCUAGGGUUGCAGUGGAGUAUCAGAAGUGGUGUGUAAUAUAGACUGUGCUAUUUUUGGAAUAUAUAUAGUUGCUUAAGUAUGAACAGUUACCUGCAAAAGUGGUGCAAUACUUCUUGGUAAAGCUUUUUAUUUCCAAUCAUAUCUAAUUAUUGAUUUGAAAGUAUCAAUGUUUUUUUAUUAUCAGUAAUUGUUAAUUUAUAUGUGUUGUAAUUGCAUAAAUAAUAUGAGGGUCAUAAUCAUAAGGGUCAAGGCUGAAAUGGGCGUUAUUAAGAAAGGAAAUCUUGUUGUCCAUCACAAAGUUUGUCCAGUUAAAUUUGGGAAGAAGGGCAGGUCUUUCUCUUAGUACCGCCUAUUUUAGCUCUGGUCUUAUAUAGUCUCAGAUUCGCGGUCAUUUUCUUUUAUUGUACGGCUGAAUCAGAGACGUAGGUAUUUUAUGGCAUUAUUUGAAUAAUAAGUUAAUGUUUUUGUUGCGUUUCGUCCCUAUAGUUGUUAUUGUCUAUAUAUUUUGUGUUUUCUAGAAAAUGGUAGAUUGUUCUCCAGUAAAACUUCUGAAAUUAAGCGACCCGGACCUCAAAGCGGUCCAAAAUGCUGCCCAGCUGGCUUGUUACCGUUGCACAGAUCCCCUAGCUUCCCGCGGAGCGAUCCAACGAAGCAUGCAUGAGGCUUUCCAGCUGAGCCUCGAAGCUCUAGAGAAAAAGGCCAGGCAGCUGAAGGCUUCAGAGAAGAGGGUGAAGCAUCUCCUCAAUGAAGUUGAGAACGUCAACAAGACAUUGGUUGCUGCCCAGCAUAAAAUUGACGAAUUGAAGGGCUGCACAGCAUUUUAUGUUGAUGAAAAAACUGAUGCAAUGACACAAACAGAGUACGAGGAGGAAGAAGUGCAAGAAAUGAGUUGGAUUGCUGAAGAUACAUUGUUUUUUUUUCUUUAAGUUCAGAGUGUUUUUGUAUGUUCUUUCAAAAAUGGUUCUAUUAAAACGGUUUUACUUUUCUGAA